GACGAACGCUGGCGGCGUGCCUAAUACAUGCAAGUCGAGCGGACAGAUGGGAGCUUGCUCCCUGAAGUCAGCGGCGGACGGGUGAGUAACACGUGGGCAACCUGCCUGUAAGACUGGGAUAACUUCGGGAAACCGGAGCUAAUACCAGAUACGUUCUUUUCUCGCAUGAGAGAAGAUGGAAAGAUGGUUUCGGCUAUCACUUACAGAUGGGCCCGCGGCGCAUUAGCUAGUUGGUGAGGUAAUGGCUCACCAAGGCGACGAUGCGUAGCCGACCUGAGCGGGUGAUCGGCCACACUGGGACUGAGACACGGCCCAGACUCCUACGGGAGGCAGCAGUAGGGAAUCUUCCGCAAUGGACGAAAGUCUGACGGAGCAACGCCGCGUGAACGAUGAAGGCCUUCGGGUCGUAAAGUUCUGUUGUUAGGGAAGAACAAGUACCAGAGUAACUGCUGGUACCUUGACGGUACCUAACCAGAAAGCCACGGCUAACUACGUGCCAGCAGCCGCGGUAAAAC
rnacentral:rRNA from 1 species